UCAUCAAACUGUAAGGUGAGAAUCCAAAUAUGAGAAGAGGUCUGUGAACAGACCAACUCAAACCUUCAUAGUAGUCAUUAAGAUAUUAUUACAAAUUUAGUAGUACAUUAAAACAUGGAACAGCACAGCACAGCACUAGCACAGCACUACAUACUGGUCGUAGCAGGACCUCAAUACGCAUUUGGCUAGCUACUGACUUGUCUGCUAUGGCUGGAGCAGGGUGCUACAUGUUGUAAUGUUGAGUUGAGGUAAAGGGAUUUAGACUGCUAAUGACUGGCUCACGGUGGUGGAAGACAGCUCGAAGUGACUGAGAGCAUUUGUUUAUUGAGUACUACAAACCGAGGACAUUGAACAAGUUGAAUUGUAAAUAGAGUUGAUACGAAACAAACAAACCAAAGCACACAAGCAAUAGAAAAAACGCAGCAACCAUAGCAGAGAAAAACCGAGAAGAAGGAGCAACAGCAAGAACUACCAGGAUAGCAGGAACCGAAGCACAAGACACCACAAGGUGAUUAAAAACCAAAAUCAAGUCGCCAAACAUUGGACUAAAGACAUUGGACUCUAAAUGAGGCCUAUGAUCCUGUUCAAAUGAAGGUUAGACAAAAGAAAGUAGGUUGACCUAACAGAAAAGUUAUCAUCUUUUCAAGGAUCCACAAAUACUUGUAAUGAAAAGGAAUAUAUAUUUUUAUAUUUGAAUCUAGUUGGAAAUAGUAGUUAAAAUUAAAGUGAUCGGAAUAUCUAUGUUUUCGAAUUUGCAACGUUGAUGCCGAAAUCAUUGAUUUGA